ensembl:lncRNA
GGCGGCGAGGCGCUGCCGGGAGCAGCAGAAGGCAGCGAGGAGAAGCCGUGAAGCUGCAGAGCGGCGGAGUUGUCUUUUUUCCUUCGCAGGCUGGAAUCUUCCUUCCGCCUUGCUGUGCUGUGGGGAGCAGCUGGAGGCGAUUCUCUUGCAUGAGCGAGGGGUGCAGCCUGGUUCCACCCGGCCCUGAGCUCACGGAAGGGCUGGCUGCCCGCAGGGAAGGAGCUCUGCUUGAGGUCUGCUCCUGGGUGGGCUUUUGUGUGCCCUGUUCCUCAGGAAGGGGUAAGCAGUGCUGGGGUUAUUUGCUAGAUGGAGUGCGUUUGUGUUUCUUGGCUUCCUGAAAGCUGUGUCUGUCUUUUUCACUGCCGGCUGGAGAGACUCGGGGGAGAAAGCGUUGUGCUUGAUGGCACGGUUUCCUUGGGCAAAGGAUGCUUUGGCAGCAGAGGUUUGCUGUCAGGAGGCAUGAAAGCACUGAAGCCAAUGCUGCCGUGCCCUGGGCCCAGAGACAUCAUCUCCCAGCACGUCCCUGGCGGUGGAUGUGUGCAAGCUCUGUGUCUGCCGGUGGUUGCUCCAAAGGCUUUGUGGUCAGCUGUGCGUGGCUGUUUUGCUCUUGAGGGCGUGGGAACAGAGGGCAACACGCUGAUGGGAGUGAUGGUGUCCUGCUCAGCAAAGGAUGUGCUGGGUGGCAGAAGAGGAUUCUUGGCCGAGCGUGGAAAAUCUCUCUGCUCCUUCCUGAAGGUGAGUUUUUCCAAGUGAGACGCGCACAGCUGGAUUGCAGGGUGCCCUGGAGGAGGUGACCCCCACUUGACAUCGGUUGGGUAUUUUAAAGCAGCUGAGAUUAAGGAGACAUGACAAAGUUGUGCAAAUGUUCCUGGACGUUCCUAGUUCUUGAAUUGCCUAAAGGAACACAAGCAAUGCAGAGAAAGAAAGAAAGAACGAAAGAAAAAGAACAACAACACCUGUAUGUCCUGCACAGAACCCAGCUUUAAUAGAGACGAAAAUUAUUGACGUUCCUUUUUCUUCUUCUCUCAGUGACGGCCACUCAUCGUUCUGCGUCUAGACUCCUCCGUUGCUCUUCUUAUUCUGUCUCCUCAAUGCUCUUUAUUCUGCAUCUGCACUCCUCUUCUUCUGCUCUUUCUUCUCUGUAUCCUCUCUCCUCUUUCUUCUGCCUCUGCACUCCUCUCUGCUUUGCUUUGUCCCCCAUAUUCUCACUUGUCUUUCUUCUGACUGCUCUCCUCUUCUGCUCUUUGUUGUUCCCAAGUUCAGAAGAAAGCCGGAGAGGAUUUCUGACCAAAGCACAGAGCAAGUGACAUGGAGGAAUUGAAUCGCUACGGCCCAAAGUGAAAGAAGAGGGAUGGUCGUUUGAUGGAGAGUGCUUUUGUUACGGCCUGCAGAGCCUUUGGUGCAUCUUUUUAUUCCUUCAGGAUUUGUUAUGUUUUGUAGCACUAAGCUUAGGCCGUCCUUCUGGGGGUGAUGGGUGGAGCAGUGGCUGGAUAAGGAAGUGGCUGGAUGGUGGCACUCAGGGAGCUGCAGUCGGCGGCUCAGUGUCCAAGUGGAGCGCGGUGACGAGCGGCGUUCCUCAGGGCUCAGUGCUGGGAGUGGUGAUGGGAGCGGUGCCCUUGAACAUCUUGAUUGGCGACAGGGAGAGUGGGAUCGUGUGCACCCUCGUCGUUGGUGCAGGUGAGGCGUUAGAGGGAAGGGAUGCUAUCCAGAGGGACGUGGAGAGCCUUAGAGGUGGGCCCAUGCCAGCGUGAGGAAGUUCAGCGAGGCCGAGAGCAAGGCCCUGCAUUUGGGUCGGGGUGAUCUCAAGCACUGACGUGGGUUGGGUGGAGAAUGGCUGGAGAGCGGCCCCGUGGAGAAGGAUUUGGGAGCGUGGACUGCUGAGAGAUUGAGCGCGAGCUGGCAAGGUGUGCUCGCUGCCCAGAAGGCCAAGCGUAGCCUGGGUUGCGUGAAGAGGAAGAAGCAUGGAAGUGGGAGAGUGUAUGUUUAGACCAGGUGUUGGGAAGAAGUUCCUUACUGUGAGGCUGCCAUGGCAGACGUUUUCUUUGGAAUAUACAAGUGGUGUUCCAGGUAUCCUGUGAGGUCUUCAACAGUCACAUCAUCGACAUAGGUGGGAGCCUCCUCAGAAUAGGAUGUGGGAGAAGUCCACGAGGCUGUUUCACAGAGGGGUCUGUUAAGCGUGGAUAAGGAGAAACAAGCUGAGGUUUGGCUGUUGUGUGAGUCAGAGUGGAAGGAUGAGGGCAGAGCGAGGCAGUUCUCCCGUGACAGAGCGCAGUGUCUCCUGGUGGAGGCAGAAAUCCCCACCGUGCUCAGUGCUUUUCCCUGCCACCACGUCAGCCCACGUCCCCAGCAGCGUGCUGCCAGCAUAUGCUGGGUCACCUGCUGUCCGUGGGGACCGGGUAACGGCACGGAGCAGUGUGAGGACUGCAGCCCCGCUUAGCAGUGUGCCCCGUGGAUGUGGGGCUGCCCCAUGGCUGUGGCCGCUGCAGUGAGGGCUCCUCCGUGGGGCUGCGGUGUGUGCCUGCCUGCCUGCCAUCCCAGGGUGGGCCGGGAGAGGAGAGCAGCUGAGCUGGCAUGGUGCCUGCGCCUGGGGAGCUAUUUGGAGAUGCGUUUGAUGUCUCCGCCGCAAGGGUGAUGGAUGCUGGGGCGAACGUCGUGAUGGCACAGCCAACGCUCUGUGCUGGGCUUUGAAGUCUCCCGAGCGGAGCAUCCCAGCUCGCAGAUUUGGGAAGACAUGGACUACGGGGCAGGAGAUGCUACUUGCCAAGGCGGCUCCGUGAGGAGCAGCCUCAGAGCUCAACAUCCCAGCUGCACCCUGCUCCAGGAGGACGCAGGAGUUCCCCGUCAGCUGUCCCUUCCUCCGCAUCUCUGUCACUGUGUCCCCGGUGUGCAGACCCCGGUGAGAUGCCGCCACGCACCGUGGGCUCCUGAAGCCAUGGAGCAGCACAGACCCAAGGAGGAGGACGAGCAGGCUGAGUGCGUAAACGUGGGAGGAUACAGGACAGGAGACCCGGAACGUCCGUGCCGUGAGAGACCGGCCGGUCCUCCUGCAGUCCUCUCACACCUGCAGGGUCAGAACAGGUGAACAGACUGAGACGGCUGUUGGUGUGCAGUCCCUGACAGGAGCAGCGGAAGAGCCUUAAGGAAGCGGGGCUCUCCCAGAAGAGAGAGGCACGCAAACACUGCUGCUGUAAAGCUCCUGGAGGGCCGUCCGCAGGCUGCGCUCCUCCUCGUCCUCGUCGUCGUCGUCCUCGUCCUCG